GUCUACGACCAUACCACUCUGAGCAUGCCUGAUCUAGUCUCAUCUUGGAAGCUAAGCAGGAUCAGGCAUGGUUAAUACUUGGAUGGGGGAGAGGAAAGGGAACUGUUGGGGAGG
rnacentral:rRNA from 1 species